AACGAACGCUGGCGGCAUGCCUAACACAUGCAAGUCGAACGAGACCUUCGGGCCUAGUGGCGCACGGGUGCGUAACGCGUGGGAACCUGCCCUUAGGUUCGGAAUAACUCCCCGAAAGGGGUGCUAAUACCGGAUAAUGUCUUCGGACCAAAGAUUUAUCGCCUUUGGAUGGGCCCGCGUUGGAUUAGCUAGUUGGUAGGGUAAAAGCCUACCAAGGCGACGAUCCACAGCUGGUCUGAGAGGAUGAUCAGCCACACUGGGACUGAGACACGGCCCAGACUCCUACGGGAGGCAGCAGUGGGGAAUAUUGGACAAUGGGCGAAAGCCUGAUCCAGCAAUGCCGCGUGAGUGAUGAAGGCCUUAGGGUUGUAAAGCUCUUUUACCCGGGAUGAUAAUGACAGUACCGGGAGAAUAAGCUCCGGCUAACUCCGUG
rnacentral:rRNA from 1 species